rnacentral:lncRNA from 1 species
CACACGGAGAGAAAGGUUCUGCUGAUGGAGCUGCAGCACUCGCCAUGGGAAGGUUAGAGACUGGAAGUGCCGGCUCCUGCCAGCACACAGCGAUUUGCAAGUGAAUGCGAGGGAGGGAGCAUCCGAGAGGAGGGCUGCGCAUGAAAGGCGUCCCCUCCCCCGCAGGGCAGAAAGACUCUCUGUUUCCAGCCUAAGAUUCACAGGAGGAACUCUUGGUUUAAUGGACUGCUGUCAUAUUUGGAAUUUCUUCAUGCUUCUCAACCAGUCUUAAAAUUUCCUCCAUUAAGAGAGGUGGAGUCCAUGAUCGCAGAACAAAGGAAACACUGAGAGGUUACAUCUUGAUUCACGAGGACGUGACAGAGAAAUGGUGCUGGAAAGGCUUAGGCAUUUGAGAACUCAAAGUUUUACCUCAGUGACCUAUCUUCACCAAGCAGGCAUUGCUGCUGGAGCAGAUUUACGAGUCAUUCACCAUCCCAGGAAAGAACUUUGAGAUGUAGAUUGUCAGCACUGACCAUCAGCCUUUAGAAGCAUUUGGAAAUCGCUUCUUGGCCUUUUGGCUCUGAUCAAGUGUAGAAGCAUUUGGAAAAAUACAGUUGUUACUCAUGUUUUUCUACUGGUUCUGAUGUAGAAAAUCUUAAGGAACAAUGUAAGUUCAGAAAAGCACGCUCUUAUUAGUUAAGCUAGGGGACAUUUUAUGGUCAGGAAACAAGAACAAUGGCAGCACUGGCUGACAUGACUCUCACUGAGCCUGGACUGCUGCUGAUUGAUUUCAUACACUCAUAUUUUCUCCUCAGCUUCCAGAUAUGAUUGAUUAGGAAUUGCUGAUGAGUAGAUAUGCACUCUGAUAAUGAGAUAGAUAUGACUGAUUUUCAUAUAAAAGUGUAUAUUUGUGAUUCUUUUAAGAGUCCUAGAAGAUUACUUUUAAAGAUAAAUAAUAAAAUAAUUACUUCUUUCUUUGUAACUGCAGUUUGCUGCCUGCCAAUAAGAGAAACUGGCUGAGAAAACUACCCUACAUGCUUACAAUUUGUUAAUCUAUAACAAAUUGCUUAGAUACAGAUGUACGUGGGUUUUUGAGAAUAAUUUGUUUUAUCUGUGCUAUAUAAUGUUAUUUUUUGUAAAGGUAUUGGAGAACACAUUGCUUUUUCAUAACGAUUCACUAGUAAAAACGUAAUAUGUAUUCACAUUU